AGCGUAGGCGGACAUUUAAGUCAGGGGUGAGGUCCCGGGGCUCAACCUCGGAAUUGCCUUUGAUACUGGGUGUCUUGAGUAUGAGAGAGGUGUGUGGAACUCCGAGUGUAGAGGUGAAAUUCGUAGAUAUUCGGAAGAACACCAGUGGCGAAGGCGACACACUGGCUCAUUACUGACGCUGAGGCUCGAAAGCGUGGGGAGCAAACA
rnacentral:rRNA from 1 species